AGAGUUUGAUCCUGGCUCAGGAUGAACGCUAGCGAUAGGCUUAACACAUGCAAGUCGAGGGGCAGCAUGGUCUUAGCUUGCUAAGACUGAUGGCGACCGGCGCACGGGUGCGUAACGCGUAUGCAACUUGCCUCACAGAGGGGGAUAACCCGUCGAAAGACGGACUAAUACCGCGUACACUCCACUUUGGGCAUCCAAAGUAGAGGAAAUGAAAUUCGCUGUGAGAUAGGCAUGCGUCCCAUUAGCUAGUUGGUGAGGUAACGGCUCACCAAGGCGACGAUGGGUAGGGGAACUGAGAGGUUGAACCCCCACACUGGUACUGAGACACGGACCAGACUCCUACGGGAGGCAGCAGUGAGGAAUAUUGGUCAAUGGGCGAGAGCCUGAACCAGCCAAGUCGCGUGAAGGAUGACGGCCCUAUGGGUUGUAAACUGCUUUUGCAGGGGAAUAAAGAUAUUCACGUGUGGGUAGUUGUAUGUACCCUGCGAAUAAGCAUCGGCUAACUCCGUGCCAGCAGCCGCGGUAAUACGGAGGAUGCGAGCGUUAUCCGGAUUUAUUGGGUUUAAAGGGUGCGUAGGCGGUUUGUUAAGUCAGCGGUGAAAUCUAGAGGCUCAACCUCGAAACUGCCGUUGAAACUGGCGAACUUGAGUGUAGAUGAGGUAGGCGGAAUUCGUGGUGUAGCGGUGAAAUGCAUAGAUAUCACGAGGAACUCCGAUUGCGAAGGCAGCUUACUAAGGUACAACUGACGCUGAAGCACGAAAGCGUGGGUAUCAAACAGGAUUAGAUACCCUGGUAGUCCACGCAGUAAACGAUGAUAACUGGGCGUAUGCGAUAUACAGUAUGCUCCUAAGCGAAAGCGUUAAGUUAUCCACCUGGGGAGUACGCCGGCAACGGUGAAACUCAAAGGAAUUGACGGGGGCCCG
rnacentral:rRNA from 1 species